GUUUGCCCGCCACGGAAACAAAGGAAGACUGCCACAGAUUCAGUUCAAGCAGCUAUGGAGGAAGAUGCUCCUGGACUCUUGCAGGUAUUACUUGAAAAAGGUGUAAGCAUCGAUGAGAUGAAGCUUUAUGGGAAAAAUGCGAGUAAUGAGCCUCUUGAUGAUUUGUCCUCUGAAAAGAACUUCUCAGAGCUUCAAGCUGUUAUAUCUAAG
rnacentral:misc_RNA from 1 species